rnacentral:rRNA from 1 species
GGAUACCCGCUGAACUUAAGCAUAUCAAUAAGCGGAGGAAAAGAAACCAACAGGGAUUGCCCUAGUAACGGCGAGUGAAGCGGCAACAGCUCAAAUUUGAAAUCUGGCUCUUUUAGAGUCCGAGUUGUAAUUUGCAGAGGGCGCUUUGGCUUUGGCAGCGGUCCAAGUUCCUUGGAACAGGACGUCACAGAGGGUGAGAAUCCCGUACGUGGUCGCUG